CUUAGACUUAACCAACAUUAUCUCGUGGCCAUCGUGAUUACCCGUAACCGAAUCGCUCAUUUGCUAUAAGACUACAGCGCGCCACAAUGAGCCGGACCGUGUCGAUAAUCUUGGGGUUCCUUCUGUAUUUUGGUGUGGCAGCGGCGCAAGAUGUGGCGCGGCCACUUACUAAGCCGCCUAGCCCUCGUGCGGGUACAGAGGCUCCUGAUCAUAUGUUGCACUGUCGGCUUCCAGGCCAGUCAUGUCACAAGGCCAUCGAAUGCUGCCAGGGAAAGCCAUGCCAGGAUGGAAAGUGCCUUUAGGCUGCGUAAUUCAAGGGUGGCGGUGUCCCGCAACACAAAAGAA